rnacentral:rRNA from 1 species
ACUCAAAUGAAUUGACGGGGACCCGCACAAGCGGUGGAGCGUGUUGUUUAAUUCGACGAUAAGCGAAGAACCUUACCAAGGUUUGACAUCCCACUAAUCACUCCGAAAGGAGAGAGUGCCUUCGGGCAGGUGGUGACAGGUGCUGCAUGGCCGUCGUCAGCUCGUGUCGUGAGAUGUUUGGUUAAGUCCAUCAACGAGCGCAACCCUUGUGAGUAGUUGAAUUUUUCUACUCAGACUGCCCUGGUAACAGGGAGGAAGGAGGGGAUGAUGUCAGGUCAGUAUUGCCCUUACACCUUGGGCUACAAACACGCUACAAUGGCCAGUACAAAGGGCAGCCAACCCGCGAGGGGGAGCAAAUCCCAUCAAAGCUGGUCUCAGUUCGGAUUGCAGGCUGAAACUCGCCUGCAUGAAGCUGGAAUCGCUAGUAAACGUAGGUCAGCACACUACGUUGAAUACGUUCCCGGGUCUUGCACACACCGCCCGU